rnacentral:rRNA from 1 species
UGUGAAGGAAAGGUGAAAAGGACCCCGGGAGGGGAGUGAAAGAGAACCUGAAACCUUGUGCCUACAAGCACAUAGAGCCCGUCAAAGGGUGAUAUGGUACUUUUUGUAGAACGGUCCGGCGAGCGAUUGUACGUUGCGAGCUUAAGGUCUUAAGGACUGGAGGCGUAGCGAGAGCGAGUCUAAACAGGGCGUUUAGUAGCGUGCAAUGGGCCCGAAACCGGGUGACCUACCCAUGAUCAGGCUGAAGUGAAAGUAAAAUUUCAUGGAGGGCCGAACCGACCUCCGUUGAAAAGGCGGCGGAUGAAUUGUGGGUAGCGGAGAAAUUCCAAUCGAACUCGGAGAUAGCUGGUUCUCCCCGAAAUAGCUUUAGGGCUAGCCUCAUGUUAGAUAUCCGGAGGUAAAGCACUGAAUGGCCUAGCGUCCGAGAGGAUAGCGAAGCCUAUCAAACUAAGAAUGCCGGAAUAUUGAUGCAUGGGAGUCAGACAGUGUGAGAUAAAUCUCAUUGUCAAAAGGGAAACAGCCCAGAUCUACAGCUAAGGUCCCAAAUUGUAUCUAAGUGGAAAACGAUGUGGAAAUACGCAGACAACCAGGAUGUUGGCUCAGAAGCAGCCACUCAUUCAAAGAGUGCGUAAUAGCUCACUGGUCGAGCGUCUUUGCGCGGAGAAUUUAACGGGGCUAAACCUGACACCGAAGCUUAGGCAAUACAGCAAUGUAUUGGGUAGGGGAGCGUUGUAUACGCGGUGAAACAGUAGCGCAAGCGGCUGUGGAGUGUAUAGAAGUGAGAAUGCCGGAAUGAGUAGCGCGAAUGAUGUGAGAAUCAUCAUGGCCGGAAACCUCAGGUUUUUGGAGGAAGGUUCGUCCGCUCCAAGUUAGGCGGGAGCUAAGGUGAGGCCGAAAGGCGUAGCCGAUGCACAGACGGUAGAGAUUCCGUCCCCACCGAAAGAUUUAAGCGCAGGGACACUUUUAGAAGGUCGGAGCCAGGUGUUGGUUCUGGUAGAGAUCGAGGGAAAUUUAGUACCGAAGUCCGGCUGGAUAAGAGGCGAGAAAAGCUGCGUGUAUAUCUAAGGUGCCCGUACCGCAAACCGACACAGGUAGGUAGGAAGAAGAUUCUAAGGCCAACGGGAGAAGGGUUGUUAAGGAACUCGGCAAGUUGACCCCGUAACUUCGGAAUAAGGGGUGCUCACGAGAGUGAGCCGCAGAGAAUAGGCCCAGGCAACUGUUUACCAAAAACACAGGUUUGUGCUAAAUCGAAAGAUGACGUAUACGAGCUGACGCCUGCCCGGUGCUGGAAGGUUAAAAGGAGAUGUGCAAGCAUUGAAUUGAAGCCCCAGUGAACGGCGGCCGUAACUAUAACGGUCCUAAGGUAGCGAAAUUCCUUGUCAGGUAAGUUCUGACCCGCAUGAAAGGCGUAAUGAUCUGGGCACUGUCUCAACAGCCCGCCCGGCGAAAUUGUAGUACCGGUGAAGAUGCCGGUUACCCGCGACAAGACGGAAAGACCCCAUGGAGCUUUACUGUAGCCUAAUAUUGGGUUUCGGUGUUGCAUGCACAGGAUAGAUGGGACGCUGGGAAGUGAGUGCUUUGGCAUUCAUGGAGCGGCCGUUGGGAUACCAUCCUUGCGACAUUGGAAUUCUAACCUGCGCCUUUGAAUCAAGGCGGGGGACAUUGUUAGGUGGGCAGUUUGACUGGGGCGGUCGCCUCCUAAAGAGUAGCGGAGGCGUUCAAAGGUUGGCUCGUCCUGGACGGAAACCAGGAGAGAGAGUGCAAACGCAAAAGCGAGCCUGACUGCGAGACUGACGGGUCGAGCAGAGACGAAAGUCGGAGUUAGUGAUCCGGUGGUAUGUGAGUGGAAAUGCCAUCGCUCAACGGAUAAAAGUUACCCUGGGGAUAACAGGCUGAUCUCCCCCAAGAGUCCACAUCGACGGGGAGGUUUGGCACCUCGAUGUCGGCUCAUC